CUGGGGUCUGGGGGCAGAACCUCCCGCGGUCCACUGCCCCCUGCCCGGCCCCGGCUGGUGGGUGCGGUUGGGCCUUCGCAGAGCUGCGUCCGGCCGCGGACCUGGGCUGCGGGGCGGCAGUGAGCGGGCGUCUCGCGUUUCAGCGGGGCCGGAGCCGUCUUCGGGGUUCCAGGGAGCCACGUGGUGUGGUGACCCCAAAGCCCGGCUGACGGUGGCCGCGUCCGACAUCCGCGCGCCCGAAGGCCGGCACCGCAGUCAGCCGCCGGCCGGGGCCCCUUCCCCGCCGCCCCGCACCAGGCGAACUCGGCCUGCGGGUCACUGCGGGUCACUGCGCCACGGCUCGCAGGUCAGGUCCGGAGUCCGGUCGCCGCCCGCUUCGCGCUCCUUACCCCGCCCGGCUGUCCGCACCUGCCCCCGGGGGCGCGACGCGGCGGUGACGCGCUGUGCGAACGUCCGUGCCUGCGCGUCUGGGCUGACCACGCAUCUGGGAUGCUGUGCACUUCCUCCUGAGCGUUAGAACAGCUUGUCAGCUUCCAGCAAAAAUGCCUGGUGCGUUUUGUUUGGGAUCCCACUGAAUCCCUACAUCAGUUUGAAAAAGUUGAUACCUUGACAAUCCAGAGCCCUUCAGUCCAUGAACAUGCUGUUCUUAUCAGUAAGAGGACAUUUCCUUGUGAAAAUAGAGGAAACCUCUUGAAAAUGGAGUCAGGAAGCCCCAAAGAAGCACUCUCACGCACGUCCCGCGCCUUGCAAUCUGCGUCACCACCAGGGAGGAGAAGGUAAGAGUUAUCUUGAAGAAGGAGGACAUUUUUCCCAUAGGCAUUAAUAAUUUCCUGCUCUUAAAAAAAAAGGAAGGAAGACCGCUCCCUGCCCUAGCAAUGACACACUAACUAACCGCCACUUAUCGCCAAUGGGGAAAUGCCACAAUCGUGAACUCUUGUUUUCUCCAAUAAACUCUUCAAAACAGCCCUUCUCAACUUUCUCCUGAAACCAAAUCAAUGGAACAGAAUAGAGAACCCAGAAAUGGACCCUCCAUUCUAUGAUCAACUAAUCUUAGACAAAAUAGGAAAGAAUAGCCAAUGGGAAAAAGUCUCUCAACAAAUGAUGUUGGGAAAAUUGGACAGACACAUACAGAAGAAUGAAAUAACAUUUUCCUACACCACACACAAAAAUAAGCUCAAAAUGGAUGAAAGACCUAAAUAUGAGACAGAAAUCUAUCAAAAUCCUAGAGGAGAACACAGGCAGCAACCUCUGUGACCUCAGCCGCAGCAACUUCUUGCUGGACAUGCCUUCAAAGGCAAGGGAAGCAAAGGCAAAAAUGAACUAUUGGGGAUUCAUCAAGAUAAAAAGCUUCUGCACAGCAAAGGAAACAGUUGACAAAGCCAAAGACAACCAACAGAGUGGGAGAAGAUAUUUGCAAACGACGUAUCAGUUAAAGGGCUAGUGUCCAAGAGCUAUAAAGAAGUCAUCAAACUCAAGACCAGUAAUCCAGUGAAGAAAUCAGCAGAAUACAUGAAUAGAAUUUUCUCCAAAGAAGACAUACAAAUGGUCAACAGACACAUGAAAAAGUGCUCCACUUCACUUGGCAUUAGGGAAAUACAAAUCAAAACCACAAUGAGAUCCCACCUCACACCGCUCAGAAUGGCUACAAUUAACAAGUCUGGAAAUAACCGGUGUUGGUGAGGAUGCGGAGAAGGGGAGACCUUGUGCACUGCUGGUGGGAAUGCAAGCUGGUGCGGCCACUCUGGGAAACAGUGUGGAGGGUCCUCGGAAAGUUACAAAUAGAGCUGUGCUGCGACCCAGCAAUUGCACUACUGGGUUUUUACCCUAAAGAUACAAAUGUAGUGAUCUGAAGGGGCACGUGCACCCAAAUGUUUAUAGCAGCAAAGUCCACAAGAGCCAGACUGUGUAUGUACACACACACACACACACACACACACACACUGGAAUGUUUCUCAGCCAUCAGAAAGGAUGAAAUCUUGACAUUUGCAACAAUCCAGAUGGAACUGGAGGGCAUUAUGCCGAGUGAAAUAAGUAAAUCAGAGAAAGAAAAUUAUCAUGUUAUCAUUCGUUCACAGCAUUAAAAAAAACAAAGCCGAGGAGCAUAGGGGAAGGGAGGGAACCAUAAACAGGAUGAAAUCAGAGAGCGAGACAAACCCUAAGAGACUUAAUCAUAUGAAAUGAACUGAGGGCUGCUGGGGGUGGGGGAUGGAACUGGGGGACGGGCAUUCAGGAGGGCACGUGACGGGACGAACACUGAGUGUCGCGUGCAGCUGGUGAAUCCCUGACCUCCCCCUCUGAGACUAACAAUACACUGUGUGUUAGUGAAUUGAACUUCAAUAAAUCAAAAAUAAAU